GACGAACGCUGGCGGCGUGCCUAAUACAUGCAAGUAGAACGCUGAAGCGAGGAGCUUGCUCUUCUUGGAUGAGUUGCGAACGGGUGAGUAACGCGUAGGUAACCUGCCUUGUAGCGGGGGAUAACUAUUGGAAACGAUAGCUAAUACCGCAUAACAAUGGAUGACACAUGUCAUUUAUUUGAAAGGGGCAAUUGCUCCACUACAAGAUGGACCUGCGUUGUAUUAGCCAGUAGGUGAGGUAAUGGCUCACCUAGGCGACGAUACAUAGCCGACCUGAGAGGGUGAUCGGCCACACUGGGACUGAGACACGGCCCAGACUCCUACGGGAGGCAGCAGUAGGGAAUCUUCGGCAAUGGGGGCAACCCUGACCGAGCAACGCCGCGUGAGUGAAGAAGGGUUUCGGAUCGUAAAGCUCUGUUGUAAGUCAAGAACGGGUGUGAGAGUGGAAAGUUCACACUGUGACGGUAGCUUACCAGAAAGGGACGGCUAACUACGUG
rnacentral:rRNA from 1 species